GUUGUGGGGGCAGCGUAACCGCCAAACUGCUGCCGUUUAAAUUAUGGAGAGGGCCCCGUUCUCGAGCAUCCCUCUCGCCCCUUUUCGUCACCUCACAAAUUAAUGUAAAUACUUUACUGCGUUGCUGUAUUUGAAAUUCUGUGAAACGGAAGUAGUUGGAUUGAACUGCCUCAACUUGAUUGCAGUUUCUAUUAAGAAACUAAACUGUGAAGAUGAAGACAAGUAGGUGGAAAUUAAGCAAGUGUGGUGUUGCAACUUGAAAGACAUGGGCAUUUCUAUGCUGUAAACUUGAAGAGGAUGGCCUUUUUCCACCUGAAAGUAAGGUGGAGUAACAUUGCUGAAAGGUAUCCCUCUUAAUAGGGAUAUGAAGAAUAGACAAUGAUCCAGGUCUUAUUGCAAAGUUCUGAGGGAUAUCCAGUCCAUGUGAGAUGAUCUCUGGAAACUUUAUUACCAGAUUCAGACUAUUUUCUGGCUCCCUGCUGAUAAGGCUUGUUUGCAGGAUUAUUGUUCAACUACCAGUUCUGUAGUGAUGAGUCUUCUGUUCAACUGCUGUGUGAAAAACAAUGAACAAAAUGAUUUGUUCUGAACAGACUGCUUUUAUCAGCUUCUACUUCAUUAGAUUCAAAUUUUGAAAUAAAUUUUGGAUCUUAUGGCCUUUUUUCUAAAGCUAUCAAGACUGCUCAGAAGUAAAUCACCUGGCACUUUUUAUCUUCAGGUCUCAGCUGAAGAUUGCAGUGAUUACUACACAAUUAACAGGUUGGAGGGCACCAUUACAAAGGGAAAAGCUCCUGAAAAUUUAGUUUGACUUGGUCUCACAUUGGCAGUUUUCCUUUUCAGG